CGCUGGCGGCGUGCCUAUACAUGCAAGUCGAGCGCAGGAAAUAAACAGAACCCUUCGGGGUAAUGUUUAUGGAAUGAGCGGCGGACGGGUGAGUAACACGUGGGCAACCUGCCUGUAAGAUCGGGAUAACUCGCGGAAACGUGAGCUAAUACCGGAUAACACUUUUCAUCUCAUGGUGAGAAGAUAAAAGACGGUUUCGGCUGUCACUUACAGAUGGGCCCGCGGCGCAUUAGCUAGUUGGUGAGGUAACGGCUCACCAAGGCGACGAUGCGUAGCCGACCUGAGAGGGUGAUCGGCCACACUGGGACUGAGACACGGCCCAGACUCCUACGGGAGGCAGCAGUAGGGAAUCUUCCGCAAUGGACGAAAGUCUGACGGAGCAACGCCGCGUGAGUGAUGAAGGUUUCCGGAUCGUAAAACUCUGUUGUUAGGGAAGAACAAGUUGGGUAACUGACCAACCUGACGGUACCUAACAA
rnacentral:rRNA from 1 species